GGAACCAGAAAGAACACACUUCCUGUUGGACAACAUUGCCCUUCAUGGGGUGGUAACAAAGUUUUGAAAUAUAUGGGUUAUCAAGAAAUACCAGAUGUAUUAGUUUCCAUAAACCUACCAUAUAUCUAGAAAGGAAGGUUUAAUCACUCCCUAAAGACACGAUUUCAAAGAGUACUGUGCAUACAGCAGUUAUCCCUCACAUCAAAUCUAUUGAAGAUCAUCAUAAAAGGCUGGAGUGGACUCCCUCUCUCAAAAAAUAUACUUUGUGUUUCUUUAUCUCUGGUGCUCUGUGGCCGAAGAAUUGGGUGAUGGAAGAGAUAAGACAUUUCUGUCUGGUACUGAUUCCAAGUUUGAAAUAAAAUCGACGCAUAACAGCAGUUCUAAGUUCUGUGCAUAGCAUUCAUCCUGUUUGAUGGAGGCUGCUAUGAAAGAUAAAAAGGAUUUGAGAAAUCUAAAAUAAAUUAAUUUGACUCUUGUUAUAAAACUCUUAUCAAAUCCAAACCAACUCCAUUCUGGAAUGGAUCUGCAACUGCUGUAUGUAAAAACAAGGAGCAGGAAUUGCUGCACCAGUUCUAGUAACAGUUUCUGAGAAUAUUGGAACCUUGCUGUUCCCAGAUAUUGCUAGGGGACGUUCUCUGUCUGUCUAUCUAUCUAUCUAUUUAACUUGCUAGCUAAAUUGCUAUGUGAACCAGUGUUAACUUGUACAUUUAGUCUGAAGUAGAAGUAAUCAGCAUCCUGCUUUGCAGAACAGCAGUGCAAGAAAUUAAGUAUUAGAUUCCUCUUGUAAUCUUUUAUAUCUUUUUUCUUUUUUCUUUUCUUUAAUAUGUACAAAUGUGAGGAUACAUAUUUCAAUUUGCAUUGCCUUGAGCCAGGAACAAUGCAGACAAUUGUUAUCCUAUCCUUGCUGGUACUGUAAUGACUCCACCAUAGCAUUCUGUGUUGAAGAGAGAAUUUUGCCUUAUGAAGAAAUGCAGAGGAUAGGAUGAUACACUUACAGAAAUACAACAGGUUUCAUCCUCACGUGAACUUAACAAAGGAAGUUAAGUAUCAUCUCUGGACUUGUCUUUAUGUGGUUGCUUUUCGUCUGAAUAAACAGGGCUGCAUUGACUGGGAAGAGCUGUAUACACUGCAGCUUUUUGUUCUGCUCUGAAUCAGUAUAUUUGGACCAAUUUUACUGCUGUUGGAACCAGAAGUGAUUUUGUAUCAGAAGAAAUAACUUUGUAGGCAGGCCUCACUGCUUAGAGAUAUUUUCUUGGCUUACCAGCUGCUUUCCUAGACUGCUUUUAUCUGGUGCAGACAAGCCUUUCCGUGGCACUUCUACCAUCCGUGUUUGCAGAGAACAGAUACUGUCUUCUCGUUCUGAACGCUGGCUGAAAGCAGGGUUCUUAAUUACUGAUCUCAAAUGCUCCAAGAGUCAACAUCAUCAUCUUCUCCUGAUAACUCUUUGUGUGCCUGAUCAUUAUGCAAGCAUAAUGCUUUCUAAAUGCUUUCUGCCUGUGGGAAAAGAUCAACAAGAAAAUUAAGAAGUUUUCAUGAAUAGGGGUAUUUUGUUUUGAGACCAUUAUGAAGCUAUUGCUGUGGAUAAAUUAUUAGGGCCAUAUUUGGGUGCCACAUUGCCUAGGGGUUUCAUGGAAGUGUGUCAAACAAGGAUGGAAGUUAUGUCUCUGGUAUCCCUGAACGGAUUGUCUGCUCUACAGAGGUGAAUAACUUUUAUAAAACAUUGUAAAAUGUUAGUGGUGAGUCUCAUUUUAUAGCACUGAAGAAUCAAUCCUGGGUACAGUGGGGCAGAGGACUUCCUGCAUGAGGACGUGCCCCAGUGCUCAUCUCACAGGAGUCAUGGAGCCAUGCCAGCUUGACCUGUGCUCUACCAGCCAGGCUGCCAACCCUGGCAACACUGAUGGGCAGGAACUAACCCGCGCUGUGUCUUGUAUUUACUCUAUGUACUGUGAUUUGCAGCUGACAUUUGCAUAUGCAAAUAGAUGAUGUCAGGUUUGAAAGACGUGAAGAGGCAUAAUAUUCAAUUUCUGCUCCAUCCCAACUCCCAAAUUUUGCAUGAAAACAAGGGCUCCUGAGUAUGAUCAGUGAAGGUGCCUCUCUUGCUGGUGUCCUCCCUCACCUUACAAAUUGCAUGCCCACGUAUGCUUUACUUAUCUGUUUCACAAAGGGAGUCCAUCUGUGUCCACCCCUUGGUCUGAAGUCUCCUCACUUCUAACUUAAGCCCUGUGCUUCUCUACAUUUCCGUGCUGGUCAUUGUGGCCUCAGUUCAUUUUCUGAGUGGAAAGGAAAUACUAAAAAGAAAAUAAAUAAAAAUAGAGCAAGUUCUUUGAACACUAACGCCAUUAAUACCUGCAUGUAAAGUAGAAGCUCCAUUUUGAUAAUGAGUUAUUAACACAGAAAAUGGGCAUGCUUUCCCUCUAAAACAUGUAUGGUCCUUUCUAUCAGCAUACCCAGAAAAUUAUUUCUGCAUCAGUAUUUCCAGAAAUACUUAAAUAACACAACUCUCAAGUGCUUUUAACAAUAAAGUCAAAUCAAUGCAGCUGGUAGUGCUUAGUAUGCAGCUCUGUGGUUUAUCCUGUACACAAACAAGAAAAAAUGAAGAAAAAGCACAAAUUACAGCCAUGGUUUCAUACCUGCACCUGCUUCAAGCUCAUUGCAAAGUAGCUUUAAUGUCAUGGCAAAAGCUGAGAAUGUCCAUGUGGGGAGUACAGUCAGAUUAUGGAAAAAUAGUAAUCCGUGGGGCUCCAAUACCCAUCCUUGCCAGCAACGAGUACCACAGA